rfam:Schistosoma haematobium scaffold1288_12, whole genome shotgun sequence.
AGCCUUCUUACUCCAUGUCGAGAUUUUGUCAGACACCAGACCAUCAGUACUCAUGAAACUCCCAAGAUAAGUGAAGCG